AGCAGCCGCGGUAAUUCCAGCUCCAACAGCGUAUAUUAAAGUUGUUGCAGUUAAAAAGCUCGUAGUUGAAUUGAGGGAUUGACGUGACGGUCGUGCCUUACGGGGUAUGAAUGAACUGUUGCUGUUGAUUUUUCUCACCUUCUGGAGAAACUUGAUGUCCUUAAUUGGGUGUCUUGCGGAUCCAGGACCUUUACCUUGAAAAAUUAGAGUGUUUAAAGCAGGCAUUUUGCUCGAAUACAUUAGCAUGGAAUAAUAGAAUAGGACGGCAUGGUUCUAUUUUGUUGGUUUCUAGGAUCACCGUAAUGAUUAAUAGGGAUAGUUGGGGGCAUUAGUAUUCAAUUGUCAGAGGUGAAAUACUUGGAUUUGUUGAAGACUAAUUACUGCGAAAGCAUUUGCCAAGGAUGUUUUCAUUAAUCAAGAACGAAAGUUAGGGGAUCGAAGACGAUCAGAUACCGUCGUAGUCUUAACCAAUAAACUAUGUCGACUAGGAAUCAGACGAUGUUAAUUUUUAAUGGUU
rnacentral:misc_RNA from 1 species